UACAGAGGGGGCAAGCGUUGUUCGGAAUUACUGGGCGUAAAGCGUGCGCAGGCGGUGAUGUAAGACAGGUGUGAAAUCCCCGGGCUUAACCUGGGAACUGCAUUUGUGACUGCAUCGCUGGAGUGCGGCAGAGGGGGAUGGAAUUCCGCGUGUAGCAGUGAAAUGCGUAGAUAUGCGGAGGAACACCGAUGGCGAAGGCAAUCCCCUGGACCUGUACUGACGCUCAUGCACGAAAGCGUGGGGAGCAAACAGG
rnacentral:rRNA from 1 species